rnacentral:rRNA from 1 species
AUUGAACGCUGGCGGCAGGCCUAACACAUGCAAGUCGAACGAGUGGCGGACGGGUGAGUAAUGUCUGGGCAACUGCCCGAUGGAGGGGGCUAACUACUGGAAACGGUAGCUAAUACCGCAUACCAUCGGAUGUGCCCACAGGGGAUUAGCUAGUAGGUGGGGUAACGGCUCACCUUGGCGACGAUCCCUAGCCGGUCUGAGAGGAUGACCAGCCACACGGGAACUGAGACACGGUCCAGACGCCGACGGGAGGCAGCAGUGGGGAAUAUUGCACAAUGGGCGCAAGCCUGAUGGAGCCAUGCCGCGUGUAUGAAGAAGGCCUUCGGGUUGUAAAGUACUUUCAGCGAGGAGGCGUUACUCGCAGAAGAAGCACCGGCUAACUCCGUGCCAGCAGCCGCGGUAAUUC